GAUUAAGUUAUUAAGGGCGCACGGUGGAUGCCUUGGCACUAGAAGCCGAUGAAGGACGUUACUAACGACGAUAUGCUUUGGGGAGCUGUAAGUAAGCUUUGAUCCAGAGAUUUCCGAAUGGGGAAACCCAGCAUGAGUUAUGUCAUGUUAUCGAUAUGUGAAUACAUAGCAUAUCAGAAGGCACACCCGGAGAACUGAAACAUCUUAGUACCCGGAGGAAGAGAAAGAAAAUUCGAUUCCCUUAGUAGCGGCGAGCGAAACGGGAAGAGCCCAAACCAACAAGCUUGCUUGUUGGGGUUGUAGGACACUCUAUACGGAGUUACAAAGGACGACAUUAGACGAAUCAUCUGGAAAGAUGAAUCAAAGAAGGUAAUAAUCCUGUAGUCGAAAAUGUUGUCUCUCUUGAGUGGAUCCUGAGUACGACGGAGCACGUGAAAUUCCGUCGGAAUCUGGGAGGACCAUCUCCUAAGGCUAAAUACUCUCUAGUGACCGAUAGUGAACCAGUACCGUGAGGGAAAGGUGAAAAGCACCCCGGAAGGGGAGUGAAAUAGAACCUGAAACCGUGUGCUUACAAGUAGUCAGAGCCCGUUAAUGGGUGAUGGCGUGCCUUUUGUAGAAUGAACCGGCGAGUUACGAUUUGAUGCAAGGUUAAGCAGUAAAUGUGGAGCCGUAGCGAAAGCGAGUCUGAAUAGGGCGUUUAGUAUUUGGUCGUAGACCCGAAACCAGGUGAUCUACCCUUGGUCAGGUUGAAGUUCAGGUAACACUGAAUGGAGGACCGAACCGACUUACGUUGAAAAGUGAGCGGAUGAACUGAGGGUAGCGGAGAAAUUCCAAUCGAACCUGGAGAUAGCUGGUUCUCUCCGAAAUAGCUUUAGGGCUAGCCUCAAGUGAUGAUUAUUGGAGGUAGAGCACUGUUUGGACGAGGGGCCCCUCUCGGGUUACCGAAUUCAGACAAACUCCGAAUGCCAAUUAAUUUAACUUGGGAGUCAGAACAUGGGUGAUAAGGUCCGUGUUCGAAAGGGAAACAGCCCAGACCACCAGCUAAGGUCCCAAAAUAUAUGUUAAGUGGAAAAGGAUGUGGCGUUGCCCAGACAACUAGGAUGUUGGCUUAGAAGCAGCCAUCAUUUAAAGAGUGCGUAAUAGCUCACUAGUCGAGUGACACUGCGCCGAAAAUGUACCGGGGCUAAACAUAUUACCGAAGCUGUGGAUUGUCCUUUGGACAAUGGUAGGAGAGCGUUCUAAGGGCGUUGAAGCAUGAUCGUAAGGACAUGUGGAGCGCUUAGAAGUGAGAAUGCCGGUGUGAGUAGCGAAAGACGGGUGAGAAUCCCGUCCACCGAUUGACUAAGGUUUCCAGAGGAAGGCUCGUCCGCUCUGGGUUAGUCGGGUCCUAAGCUGAGGCCGACAGGCGUAGGCGAUGGAUAACAGGUUGAUAUUCCUGUACCACCUAUAAUCGUUUUAAUCGAUGGGGGGACGCAGUAGGAUAGGCGAAGCGUGCGAUUGGAUUGCACGUCUAAGCAGUAAGGCUGAGUAUUAGGCAAAUCCGGUACUCGUUAAGGCUGAGCUGUGAUGGGGAGAAGACAUUGUGUCUUCGAGUCGUUGAUUUCACACUGCCGAGAAAAGCCUCUAGAUAGAAAAUAGGUGCCCGUACCGCAAACCGACACAGGUAGUCAAGAUGAGAAUUCUAAGGUGAGCGAGCGAACUCUCGUUAAGGAACUCGGCAAAAUGACCCCGUAACUUCGGGAGAAGGGGUGCUCUUUAGGGUUAACGCCCAGAAGAGCCGCAGUGAAUAGGCCCAAGCGACUGUUUAUCAAAAACACAGGUCUCUGCUAAACCGUAAGGUGAUGUAUAGGGGCUGACGCCUGCCCGGUGCUGGAAGGUUAAGAGGAGUGGUUAGCUUCUGCGAAGCUACGAAUCGAAGCCCCAGUAAACGGCGGCCGUAACUAUAACGGUCCUAAGGUAGCGAAAUUCCUUGUCGGGUAAGUUCCGACCCGCACGAAAGGCGUAACGAUUUGGGCACUGUCUCAACGAGAGACUCGGUGAAAUCAUAGUACCUGUGAAGAUGCAGGUUACCCGCGACAGGACGGAAAGACCCCGUGGAGCUUUACUGUAGCCUGAUAUUGAAAUUCGGCACAGCUUGUACAGGAUAGGUAGGAGCCUUUGAAACGUGAGCGCUAGCUUACGUGGAGGCGCUGGUGGGAUACUACCCUAGCUGUGUUGGCUUUCUAACCCGCACCACUUAUCGUGGUGGGAGACAGUGUCAGGCGGGCAGUUUGACUGGGGCGGUCGCCUCCUAAAAGGUAACGGAGGCGCUCAAAGGGUCCCUCAGAAUGGUUGGAAAUCAUUCAUAGAGUGUAAAGG
rnacentral:rRNA from 1 species